CAAUAAUUAAUUAAAUUAUUGUUAUUUUUAUUUAUUUAUUCAUGUCUUUAUCAGGUUUUAAUGAAUAAUUGUGAAACGUUUGACCUUAAUAUCUGUCAAUGGGAAAUAGGAGGAAAACAAAACAACAUGUUCUUAGACACUGGAGUGAGUUUGUGUCUCACAUCUAUGUGACGUUUGUAUGCAACAUGUAUUCAUAAAACACUACUU